AUAGCUUUUUUUGCACUUGUAUUGGCAAUUCAAAGGCCAAGCAAUGCAUUGAAAAUACUUGAAGAUCCAAUCUGCGAAGAAGUGAAUGAUUGUUUUGAGUAUUGCGAAGAUUUUAUAGAUGGGAUUGCGCGAUAUGCAACCCGAGAGUGUUGUGACAAUUUACUUAUAUUGAAUGGCAGGGUGAAAUAUGUGGACAAUGGAGUUCGUAGGUAUUGUUAUUGCAUUGAAGAUUUCACUAAUAGCCAUUACCAUCCUCCUUAUCUUCAGAAUCGGAUUGGAGAUCUUACUGCGAUUUGUGGUAUUCAUCGUAGUUUUCCCAUUUCAGAACACAUGGAUUGCUCUAAGCUUUAGCAAGAGCUUUGAGGAAGUUGUUCGUUCGACUCUGAUGCUAUAUCAAUUAGAAUAUCAUUUAUUUUCUUUCCUUUUCCUCAACUUUAAUUGGAAGUAUAAUGAUAUGCGUAAAUGACAGUA